GGAUGAACGCUGGCGGCGUGCCUAAUACAUGCAAGUCGAGCGAACAGACGAGGAGCUUGCUCCUCUGACGUUAGCGACGGACGGGUGAGUAACACGUGGAUAACCUACCUAUAAGACUGGGAUAACUUCGGGAAACCGGAGCUAAUACCGGAUAAUAUAUUGAACCGCAUGGUUCAAUAGUGAAAGACGGUUUUGCUGUCACUUAUAGAUGGAUCCGCGCCGCUUUAGCUAGUUGGUAAGGUAACGGCUUACCAAGGCGACGAUGCGUAGCCGACCUGAGAGGGUGAUCGGCCACACUGGAACUGAGACACGGUCCAGACUCCUACGGGAGGCAGCAGUAGGGAAUCUUCCGCAAUGGGCGAAAGCCUGACGGAGCAACGCCGCGUGAGUGAUGAAGGUCUUCGGAUCGUAAAACUCUGUUAUUAGGGAAGAACAAAUGUGUAAGUAACUAUGCACGUCUUGACGGUACCUAAUCAGAAAGCCACGGCUAACUACGUG
rnacentral:rRNA from 1 species